AUUGAACGCUGGCGGCAGGCCUAACACAUGCAAGUCGAACGGUAACAGAAAGCAGCUUGCUGCUUUGCGGACGAGUGGCGGACGGGUGAGUAAUGUCUGGGAAACUGCUUUAUGGAGGGGGAUAACUACUGGAAACGGUAGCUAAUACCGCAUAACUUCGCAAGCCCAAAGAGGGGGACCUUCGGGCCUCUUUCCAUCGGAUUUGCCCAGAUGGGAUUAGCUAGUAGGUGGGGUAAAGGCUCACCUAGGCGACGAUCCCUAGCUGGUCUGAGAGGAUGACCAGCCACACUGGAACUGAGACACGGUCCAGACUCCUACGGGAGGCAGCAGUGGGGAAUAUUGCACAAUGGGCGCAAGCCUGAUGCAGCCAUGCCGCGUGUAUGAAGAAGGCCUUCGGGUUGUAAAGUACUUUCAGCGGGGAGGAAGGGAGUAAAGUUAAUACCUUGGCUCAUUGACGUUACCCGCAGAAGAAGCACCGGCUAACUCCGUG
rnacentral:rRNA from 1 species